rnacentral:rRNA from 1 species
GACGAACGCUGGCGGCGUGCCUAAUACAUGCAAGUUGAGCGAUGAAGAUUGGUGCUUGCACCAAUUUGAAGAGCAGCGCACGGGUGAGUAACGCGUGGGGAAUCUGCCUUUGAGCGGGGGACAACAUUUGGAAACGAAUGCUAAUACCGCAUAACAACUUUAAACAUAAGUUUUAAGUUUGAAAGAUGCAAUUGCAUCACUCAAAGAUGAUCCCGCGUUGUAUUAGCUAGUUGGUGAGGUAAAGGCUCACCAAGGCGAUGAUACAUAGCCGACCUGAGAGGGUGAGCGGCCACAUUGGGACUGAGACACGGCCCAAACUCCUACGGGAGGCAGCAGUAGGGAAUCUUCGGCAAUGGACGAAAGUCUGACCGAGCAACGCCGCGUGAGUGAAGAAGGGUGUCGGAUCGUAAAACUCUGUUGGUAGAGAAGAACGUUGGUGAGAGUGGAAAGCUCAUCAAGUGACGGUAACUACCCAGAAAGGGACGGCUAACUACGUG